rnacentral:rRNA from 1 species
GACGAACGCUGGCGGCGUGCCUAAUACAUGCAAGUAGAACGCUGAAGAGAGGAGCUUACUCUUCUUGGAUGAGUUGCGAACGGGUGAGUAACGCGUAGGUAACCUGCCUUGUAGCGGGGGAUAACUAUUGGAAACGAUAGCUAAUACCGCAUGACAAUGGAUGACACAUGUCAUUUAUUUGAAAGGGGCAAUUGCUCCACUACAAGAUGGACCUGCGUUGUAUUAGCUAGUAGGUGAGGUAAUGGCUCACCUAGGCGACGAUACAUAGCCGACCUGAGAGGGUGAUCGGCCACACUGGGACUGAGACACGGCCCAGACUCCUACGGGAGGCAGCAGUAGGGAAUCUUCGGCAAUGGGGGCAACCCUGACCGAGCAACGCCGCGUGAGUGAAGAAGGUUUUCGGAUCGUAAAGCUCUGUUGUAAGUCAAGAACGGGUGUGAGAGUGGAAAGUUCACACUGUGACGGUAGCUUACCAGAAAGGGACGGCUAACUACGUG